GCCAGUGUGGUGUAGUGGUCUGAGUGCUGGACAAAGGAUCCAAGGGACCAGAGUUCAAAUCCCUGCUCAGGCA